GGAGAGAUGGCUCAGUGGUUCAAAGCACUGGUUGCUCUUCUAGAGGACCUGGGUUCAAUUCCCAGCACUCCU
rfam:Mus musculus chromosome 2, GRC primary reference assembly.